UUGCUACACAAUUUCUCUACCUCUCAAUGUGCAUUCCAUACAAACCACACAUUCUCCACUUCUUAAGUGCAUACUCCAUGAUAUAGACAUUUUACCUAUUUACUACAACAAAUAUAAGAAAAUUGGAAAAUGGGGCAAAGAUUUGGUGGGUGGUAUACGGCAAAAGUGGCCCCCUUUUUUGUUUUUUCUUUCUUUUCUAUCUUCCUUCACGUGUUGUUCCUUUCUUCUUUUGCUUUUCAGAUUGUUGUUCCCCCCCCCCCCCCUGUUUUGCUUUUCCUUUCUUCACUCUUCCUUCACGUGUUGAUCAUCAUCAUGCCUUUUUUUUUUUUUUUCUUUCUCUUCCUCCUUUUUCGAGAAAAGCUUCUCCUUUUUGUUUUUUUCUUUGAUUUUCUUUUCUUUUCUCCGGACCUUGCACGCCUCCUCCUUUUCUCUGUCACUCCUCUCUUCUUUCUUCUCCUCCCUUUUUCGAGACCAGCCUUGUCUCUCUCUCCUUUCUUUUCUUCUUUCUUCUGUCAGCUGAAACUGAAGUGGAAGUGCAGAUCGGAGAAUGGAGCUGCUGCUGCGGUGGAGUGGAAGGCGCGGUUCGAUCGGAGAUGUUGCAGAUUGGGCUUCGUUGGUGGGAAUGGAGAUGAAAAGAAUAGUAGGGUGCAGUACGGCCUGGGUCGAAGGAGGAUCCGAGCGGCGAUUCGCUGAUAGAUGGUGCAGUACGGCCUGGGUCAAAAACAGAUGAUCGAGUUCGCUGAGGAUUCGCCUCUCUGCACGGAACCAAUUCCCAGGUAGUCGAUUCAAGAAACUGGUUCUAAGCGCACGCAGAUUGGGAGCUACAGGGGAGUUGUCUUGGAUAAUCAGGCUAAGGGGACCAAUGGAGGUCGAUAAUUGCAGGAUUGAGAACUCAGAUUCGGUCAGAAAGGUGAGUUUCUGGUGCUGGUGCUGGUAUUUAUGUUUUCUGGGUAAAAAGAUGAAGAACAGAAUUGGUUCUUGGUAUUUUUGUGAGCUUCUGUUCAAUCUUUGAGCAAAAAACUUGUUUAUGGGUAAUGGGUAAGAUGAAUCUUUUGAUAUUUUUGGCAGCGGAAUAUGGGUAUGGGUAAUCUAGAUUUCUAGAGGUGGGAAUCAGGCUCAAGAGCAAAACUGCUCUGAUACCAUGUCAAAUCUGGUAAUGUAUUUGCUAUAUUCAAGCACAUUUACACUGAAUUACAAUCAUGCUCUUAUAGAGCUUAUACCAUGAUUA